rnacentral:misc_RNA from 1 species
UUAAGUUCAGCGGGUAGUCCUACCUGAUUUGAGGUCUCCAAAAAAAAGAAAUAAAGUUUGUUAUAAGCAGUGUAAUCUGUUUUAUGCAGUAUACUAAGGCAUAGAUAAAUUAUCACACCUGUAGUAGUUCCUUCUGCUCAGAUACCACUAAUGCAUUUCAGGGGAGCAGACUUAGGAUAAAACCUGCAAACAUUACCCCC